rnacentral:lncRNA from 13 species
ACAGUGUCAGAGAUCAGGGGCACACACAGAGAUGUUCACACAGAGGUUACCACUACAUAACACUGGUUACCACUACAUAACACUGGUUACCACUACAUAACACUGGUUAUAACUACAUAACACUGGUUACCACUACAUAACACUGGUUACCACUACAUAACACUGGUUAUAACUACAUAACACUGGUUAUAACUACAUAACACUGGGUACCACUACAUAACACUGGUUAUAACUACAUAACACUGGUUACCACUANNNNNNNNNNGUAUGUUUGUGUAAGUAGUAACAGCGUAGUCUGUCCUCUGUGAUUAAAGACUACAUGAUGUGUAACAGCGUAGUCUGUCCUCUGUGAUUAAGACCACAUGAUGUGUAACAGCGUAGUCUGUCCUCUGUGAUUAAAGACUACAUGAUGUGUAACAGCGUAGUCUGUCCUCUGUGAUUAAAGACUACCGUAGUCUGUCCUCUGUGAUUAAGACCACAUGAUGUAUAACACCAUAGUCUGUCCUCUGUGAUUAAAGACUACCGUAGUCUGUCCUCUGUGAUUAAAGACUACCGUAGUCUGUCCUCUGUGAUUAAGACCACAUGAUGUGUAACAGCGUAGUCUGUCCUCUGUGAUUAAAGACUACCGAAGUCUGUCCUCUGUGAUUAAAGACCACAUGAUGUGUAACAGCGUAGUCUGUCCUCUGUGA